ensembl:lncRNA
GGUGAAACGUCUUCAAGUAACUUAAAGAAGUCCAGACGCUUUUCUUUGCAAGCUCCUUUGACUACGAUGACCUGGAUGACUGAGAACCUUCACAGACAUAUGUACUACUUAGAGUACUCAUUUUUCUCUUAGCUCAACCUUUAGGGACUUGUGUGGAGCACCAUUUGAAAAUAUGGAGAUGGGAAUGAGCUAAAUAGACCCACUUAAAUGUAAAAGUGACGGCAGGUCACUUUGAUGGAUUUAGGUUUUAAAAAGGUUAAAGAAUAAAAGGAGAGGGCUGCUGUGACAAUAUGUUUGGUCUGAAGAUCAGUGGUCCUAUGUUGUAUAAAAUCAUCUUAUGUCAUUUUUCAGCAUUUAUUAAGUAAAAAAUUGUUUUAAUCAAAGUGGUUAACCUAGCUUAGCACAAGCACUAGAAGCAAGGGAGACUGUUGGCUAGCAUAGCCAGAUUUAUCUUAAAUAUGUCCUAGAUAGCAGUGGCUUCUACCACUAAUGUAUUCAGCAUGAAUAAAUGUCUUAUUUACAUUGUAUAUCAUAUUAUCUAACAGUUUGUCAUUAGGAGUCAGAAUGAAGUUACCAUUAGCUUUAUGAUAUAAGCCUAUGCUUCCAGCCUGAUUUUUAGCUAGGUUAGCUUGCUUUGAGUUAGCUACGAGUUCAUUUAGAUUUGUGUUAGCUUAAGGUGUUUAAAUGAAUAAAGUGCUCCUACAGGAUUAAUAGUACUAGAUGGAUUGUUAGUAUACAUUACCCUUCAUGUCUAGCUAGCUUCUUUAGUCAACUAAACCUCUUUGAUUCCCUUUCUAGCUAACACGCUUAAGCGCUGCAUCUGAAAUAAUCUAUUCAUUAGGAUAAAAUCUAAAUUAUUUACUAACCAACAACUUGUGCAAUAACCAUUCAGUCUCAAUGUAAAUGAGCAGUCGAGGUCAGAAGUUUAUAUACGCUCAUCUGUAAUAAUUUCUUUGAAAUGUUCGUUUCAUCAAAUGAUCAUACAGCAUACGUCUUUAAUGACUGUUAAAACAUAAGUUUGAAUUUAUUUAUUGUUUUUCCCUAAUCUACAGAGUCAUACAGGCUCAUAGUUGACCAAUCGUUCAUAUAUAUUGGUUGGGACCUUAAUGUUAGUCUGCUUUAUCCAUCCCAAAGCCAGUUUUGUUGUGUGUUUGCUAGAAUGUCCAGCUGUGUCCAAGUCAAUCAUUUUGAAAUGGCAAUUCUUCAUUAUUCUAGUACCACUGGCAGCAAAACAGCCCCAGAGCACAGGUGGUACAGUGUUCUUAGGUUUGAAAGCCUCACUAUUGCUCCUCCAGACAUAUAUCCCUUAUCAUUGUUGCCAUAUAGCUCAAUCUUUGUGUCAUCUGACCAUAAAAUUUGUCUGUUUGAUCAGCAGCAACUUUCAGAGGAGCUUGAAGGUGUUGAUUUUGGGUGGGGGUUUCUUUCUUGGUAGGUAGCCUCUCAGUCCACGGCAAUGUAAAACUUACUCCACUGUGGACAGUGAUGUUGGCGUACCAGUUUCUAGUCCAUGGCAGGCUUGAGGCUCUUGGGUUGUUCCUGAACAUUGUAACAUCCUUGACUACGGCUUCUCAAGUUUCUUUUAGUAGGUUGAUGAAGAUUAUAUAAAAUCUUUUAAGUGUUUGUUACUAUUUGAGCCUGUAUCUAUACUUUUUGAAUUAAGAACAUUUUCUUUAAUCUUUAAAGAUAUGUAUGCUGGACAAUCAUCCCACCCUGUAAAAAGAGCAGCUUAAAGAAGUAAAUAAAAGCCCCAAAUUACCAUGACAUUCAUGCACACGAGUGUGUAUAUAAACCUGUAAGAGUUCACUUUGGUAGGCAUAAACACACAUGUGAAUGACAUACUGUCACACAUACUGAGUGUCUGUACGGGAGUAGGUUAGAGUUGGGUAUGGGAUUUCAGAUGCAGCGCGGUUCUUUGUGCUAAGCUCAGCUAACCACAGAGAUAAAACUGAUGGAGAGCAUUAGUGUUUGCUGUCAGCAUGACCUUUGACCUGUAAGGUACAUGAAUAAAUGUGUUCCCUUCUGUGUUUAAAAUGUUUUUGUUGUUAAUGAGAUUAUGCUGUGUCUUUAUUAGAUUCAGUUUAACUUAUUUUUUUCCCCCAUAGACCAGACAUGUGUUUAUUGGAAAACUGUUUUUUGGAAUGAUUCAAAAGUUUUUCUGUUUCAAUGUUUUAUUAAAAUGUAACAAAGCUGUUAAGUGGAAUGAGUUAUUUCUGUACCCUGGAUUUGACUUUUCCCAGAAAUGGGAAGUUGAAAAUUAUGUGAUCUGGACCUCCAAAGGUUUGAUGAACAAAGUUGGGAAAGACUUAACCUAGUUAAUUUACUUACCUGAAACAGAAUAAUCAAAAAGAUGUGCUGUUUGUUUUAAUGAUAUUAUAGCCAAACUGUUUUGUGUAUAUAUUUCAAACAGUUAAGUCAGAAUGAUUGUUUCAUAUUUAUUAACUUAAAUUCAGAGUACUUGGGGUGUGAAGACUGUGAUAAAAGUGUCAUUUUUUCACACCAAUGUGACCCAUAAUUGAUUAAAUGAACAAGAUUUUUUUUUUUUAUCAGAUAAGAUCCGAAACUGCCAUCUCAACCUAUAAACUCACCAGACGACUGAAUAGUGAGGUUAAAGUUUAAAGAAGAUGUAGGGUAAUUUUCCCAUAGACCUCAACACAAUCGGACUGUUUUGCAAGCAGAUCAGACUCCCCCUGCUGGCCAUUAGAACAAUUACAGGUCCUACACUGUUCUCCCUUUCGACAACCACAGGAUACGUCCGUCUUUGGUGGGGACAAAAACAGACAGCAGGCGGCAGUGAAGGUCGACUUUACCGACUUUAUUUCUGAGUGUGACAUGAAUCAAAAUUUCACCACAGACAGACGAAUCAUCACAAGCUGAAGUACAGGAACACAACGAGAACGUAUUGAUCACAUAGCUGAUGAGCCAUUGCCAAGGUUAUUACCACUUUCCACCAUCUCUCCAUCUUUUUUGAAGGAAAGAAGCUCGAUUUAAUGGCGAACCUGUAACAAUGUAACCACAUUACAGUAAUGAAGAGUCUAACUACAAGCCCCAGAGACCAUUGCAGUAGAUUAUCAGCCAAUCGGAGAGCUUGAGAAAGAAGUUUCUUUUCACAAAUUUGAUUCCGGUGAAUUUUUAGAUUUUGGUUCAUUGAAUGUGCUGGAACAAUGCCUGCUGAGGCUCAUGGGAAAUGUAGUGUUUUAAAGACUCGCACAAACGGAACCGUUUUAUCCUUUUCCAUCUGUUUGACAUUUCUCCUCAUUUUUACAACAAACAACUUGAUAAAUGUUCACGAAAGCAGCAGGAACAAAUGAAAAAGAUGCACAAAUAAAAACCUGAAUGACAACGUAUACUCUUUUCUCUACUCCUUACUCCCUCAUGUACUCCAGAAUCUGAUCAACCAAUAUUUGUGGGUCGUAGUUCAGAGCAGCUCUCCUCCGGCGCCUACGACUCCCAUGAUUCAGUUCCUCUGCGUCACCUGUUGACGUAGUGUCGAUGCGUUUCAUCCUCUGCAGCCCGACCACCUGGGGGUGCAGCUUCUCUCCUUGCUCCUCUCCGUCGUAAUCCUCCAGCCUCUUCACCCUGAGGAGGGGAGGGUCGUUGCUAGGUGAAGGGGGAGCCAGAUCGUCAAGAGAACGGCGGGUUCUUCUGUGGGCGGAGCUAACAGGCUCAGGUGCUUUCGCUGACAGGUCCCUCUUCGCUCUGCGACCAGAGGAGGCGACCGAGGCACCGUUAGGACCGAUGCUGGAGAGUAUCCCAGCAACCAUCCGCCUAAGGAGGGAAUACAUGGCCAUCUUGAAUUUAUUAUUAUUAUUAUUGAUAAUAUUAUUAAACAAAAUAAGUAAGCAAUUUAUUAAUAAAUCAUACUAUUAAUUUACAUCAUAAAAUAAAGAGUCGGUGGUUCAGCAGCUGUGGGCACAUCAUUGGAUCAUUAAGUUCAGUUUUACAUUUUCUAAUAAGUAUAAAACUGAAACAAGUCAAAUGAAGACACAUAAUUAAUAAUAACAUUUCUGAUAUUAGUUCCCAAAUGGUCUUCAGGGAAGUCAAAGUGUGCCUUUAGAUUUUUUUGCUUUUUGCCUUGACGUGUGUCAAAAAAAAAAAAAAAGAUUGAAAAACACGAAAUACAUCCUCUGGAUUGUCACAGUCAGUCCCUGAUGUACUAAAAAUAAAAAUAAACAAUAUCUACUAAAUAUCAUAGAGAUUAACAUAAUUCAGCGCUACGUGCAUCAUGUUUUAAGUUAGUUUUCAAAGUGUGUCUUUUAGAGAGCAGUGCAGUUUAGGACCAAUCUAAACUGGUUCAAAACGUACUUAGAAAACAGGAAAUACUUUGUAUCAAAAGGUAACUUCACAUCUGAGCAGACAAGGAUCACAUGUGGAGUUCCCCAAGGUUCCAUCUUGGGACCCCUUCUGUUUAACAUUUACAUGCUCCCACUGGCACAGAUUAUAAAGAACAACAAAAUAAACUAUCACAGCUAUGCAGAUGAC